UACGUAGGGUGCAAGCGUUGUCCGGAAUUAUUGGGCGUAAAGAGCUCGUAGGCGGUCUGUCGCGUCUGCUGUGAAAACUCAGGGCUUAACCCUGAGCUUGCAGUGGGUACGGGCAGACUAGAGUGCGGUAGGGAGACUGGAAUUCCUGGUGUAGCGGUGAAAUGCGCAGAUAUCAGGAGGAACACCGGUGGCGAAGGCGGGUCUCUGGGCCGUAACUGACGC
rnacentral:rRNA from 1 species